GGUGAAAAGGGAAUAAGGGCACUGUGUCUCUUAAGCUGCUUCCUGUUAUCUAGGGCCGUCAUCAAUUUUGGGGUGUAGCUGACUUUUACCAUCAGGAUCCACUUGUCUAUAUAGAAAGUCAAGAAAGAAGAUGUGCAGCCAUUGAGGAACAAAGACAGCUCUCCCAACUGCUUCAGGUGGUGAGAGCUGAGUAGGGAGAGUGCCUCAUCUCCCUUCCCCUCCCUAUCCUCUCCCCCAACCUAUACACACCACCUGGAGGCAGACACACUCCCUUGACCAGGGCCAGCAUUACUGGCUGUGCAGAGUGUGCUGAGUCCUCUGUGGCUGCUAUAGAUGGGACAAUGUGACACAGUUCUACCUAUGGAGCAGAGCUAGCAAGAUGUUCUCCCUGCCAACGUUACCAUGGAAUGCUCUCUCUGACAAGGUUGAUGGCUCCAUGACAAUUAGAAGCAACACAAAUCUGGAAGCCUGUCCUUGAUCCAGAUAUCCCUCCUCAGGAAGACGAACUCUCCAUAGGUCAUCCUCCAGCUGGGAUCUCUCUGCUCUAUGUUCUGUCUCUUCUUCUUCUUUUUUUUUUUUUGUACCUUCUUAAUAUACAGUUGAGUUUAACUUAAUAUAGUAAUUCAGUAGCUAUGUGCCAAGCUUUGAUGACUUUUUCUCUUCUAGCCCC